rnacentral:lncRNA from 1 species
GGAACGCGGGAGAUUCGAGUAGAAGGUGUUUGGCGAGUUGCUGGGUCUGUCUGGACUGCGGCCUUUCGGCGUCGCCCUGGCUGUCUCCCAGUCUUGACUUAGCCCACUGGUGGAUGCCAUCUGGACCAUCUGGAUCUGGAUUUUGGAGGACAUAGAAAGGAAGAUGCCAUAUUCCAUCAUUUGUUGCACUGUCAAGGAAUCAGGUUUUAAAAAUAAUGCAUUUU